GACGAACGCUGGCGGCGUGCUUAACACAUGCAAGUCGAACGGAAAGGCCCUGCUUGCAGGGUACUCGAGUGGCGAACGGGUGAGUAACACGUGGGUGAUCUGCCCUGCACUUCGGGAUAAGCCUGGGAAACUGGGUCUAAUACCGGAUAGGAGCCAUUUUUAGUGUGAUGGUUGGAAAGUUUUUUCGGUGUAGGAUGAGCUCGCGGCCUAUCAGCUUGUUGGUGGGGUAAUGGCCUACCAAGGCGGCGACGGGUAGCCGGCCUGAGAGGGUGGACGGCCACAUUGGGACUGAGAUACGGCCCAGACUCCUACGGGAGGCAGCAGUGGGGAAUAUUGCACAAUGGGCGCAAGCCUGAUGCAGCGACGCCGCGUGGGGGAUGACGGCCUUCGGGUUGUAAACUCCUUUCGCUAGGGACGAAGCUUUUGUGACGGUACCUAGAUAAGAAGCACCAGCUAACUACGUG
rnacentral:rRNA from 1 species